rnacentral:rRNA from 1 species
CACCAGACUCCUACGGGAGGCAGCAGUGGGGGAUAUUGCACAAUGGGGGAAACCCUGAUGCAGCGACGCCGCGUGGGCGAAGAAGUAUUUCGGUAUGUAAAGCCCUAUCAGCAGGGAAGAAGAAAUGACGGUACCUGAGUAAGAAGCACCGGCUAAAUACGUGCCAGCAGCCGCGGUAAUACGUAUGGUGCAAGCGUUAUCCGGAUUUACUGGGUGUAAAGGGAGCGCAGGCGGCACGGCAAGCCUGAUGUGAAAGCCCGCGGCCCAACCGCGGGACUGCAUUGGGAACUACCGGGCUGGAGUGCCGGAGAGGUAGGCGGAAUUCCUAGUGUAGCGGUGAAAUGCGUAGAUAUUAGGAGGAACACCAGUGGCGAAGGCGGAUUGCUGGACAGUAACUGACGCUGAGGCGCGAAAGCGUGGGGAGCAAACAGGAUUAGAUACCCCGGUA